rnacentral:rRNA from 1 species
CUACGGGGUGCUGCAGUGGGGAAUAUUGGACAAUGGGGGAAACCCUGAUCCAGCAAUGCCGCGUGUGUGAAGAAGGCCUGCGGGUUGUAAAGCACUUUCGGUUGGGAGGACUGCUUCUAGCACUAAUAUUGUUGGAAGUUGACGUUACCUUCAGAAGAAGCACCGGCUAACUCCGUGCCAGCAGCCGCGGUAAUACGGAGGGUGCAAGCGCUAAUCGGAAUUACUGGGCGUAAAGCGCGCGUAGGCGGCUAGAUCAGUCGGGUGUGAAAGCCCCGGGCUUAACCUGGGAACUGCAUCCGAUACUGUCUAGCUUGAGUACAGGAGAGGAGAGUGGAAUUCCACAUGUAGCGGUGAAAUGCGUAGAUAUGUGGAGGAACACCAAUGGCGGAGGCAGCUCUCUGGCCUGAUACUGACGCUGAGGUGCGAAAGCGUGGGGAGCAAACAGGGUUAGAUACCCGGGUAGUC